GCGCCCAUAGCUCAGAUGGACAGAGCAGGAGCCUUCUAAGCUCUUGGCCGGGGGUUCGAAUCCCUCUGGGCGCGCCA
rnacentral:tRNA from 3 species